UCUGGAUGGUAGAUGUUGGCUGCUCUGUUGUUGUACUGUAGCUAUCAAAAACAUAAAAAAUCCCGGUGAGACAGCCGUUAAAAUAAUGUCCUUUCCGUGAACACAGGUACUCAAAUUUAGCUGUUUAAACCCGUGUCCGCACUGAUAAGGUAACUGCGCGUGAGCAGUGGUUAAAACGCGGUUCCGGGGAGUGUUUUCGAGCCGAGGCCUUGUCGCAAACACAACUGCUCGCAUAGUCUCGUAUAACCGUCCUUGAUUUCAAGUUGAAGCCGUCAGGUUUCUAGGUCAAGUUUAGUGUCUCCCGGUCGGAAGAUGGACACUGAUAAAUUCAACUAUGUUUACAGUUGUGACCUGGAUAUCAACGUUCAACUUAAGAUUGGAAGUUUAGAGGGGAAACGAGAGCAGAAGAGCUACAAAGCCCUGCUCGAAGACCCGAUGCUGCGGUUCUCUGGCCUCUACCAGGAGAACUGCUCGGACCUCUACGUCACCUGUCAGGUGUUUGCUGAAGGAAUACCUCUCGCCCUGCCGAUUCGCACCUCGUACAAAGCCUUCAGCACACGCUGGAACUGGAACGAGUGGUUGCGGCUGCCAGUCAAGUACCCAGACCUUCCCCAGAGUGCCCAGGUUGCCCUCACAGUGUGGGACGUCUAUGGGCCCGGCAGAGCCGUUCCCGUUGGGGGAACAACUGUCACCUUGUUUGGCAAAUAUGGUAUGUUCCGACAAGGGAUGCAUGACCUGAAGGUUUGGCCGGGUGUGGAGGGGGAUGGAGGAGAGCCCACCACCACACCAGGACGCACCAGCAGCAGCCUGGCAGAGGACCAGAUGGGCAGACUCGCCAAGCUGACGAAGGCCCAUCGACAGGGCCACAUGGUGAAGGUCGACUGGCUGGACCGUCUGACCUUCAGAGAGAUUGAGAUGAUCAACGAGAGUGAGAAACGCAGCUCGAACUUCAUGUACCUCAUGGUGGAGUUCCCCCGUGUCAAAACAAAUGACAAGGAAUACAGUAUUGUCUACUAUGAAAAGGAAAAGGACGAAGCCGACGCAUCACCUGUUCCUUCCAGCUGCGAAAUCGUCAAAGUUCCCGACCCACAAAUGGGGAUGGAGAACCUGGUUGAGAGCAAGCAUCACAAACUCGCCCGUAGCCUCCGCAGCGGGCCGUCGGAUCACGACCUGAAGCCCAACGCUGCCACGCGGGACCAGCUCAAUAUCAUUGUGAGCUACCCUCCCACCAAGCAGCUGAGCUCUGAAGAGCAGGAUCUGGUGUGGAAGUUCAGAUACUACCUCACCACACAGGAGAAGGCCCUCACAAAGUUCCUCAAGUGUGUCAACUGGGAUCUGCCCCAGGAGGCCAAGCAGGCUCUGGAGCUGCUGUGGAAGUGGAAGCCGAUGGACGUGGAGGACUCCCUGGAGCUGCUGUCCUCCCAGUUCACCAACCCGACUGUACGACGCUACGCUGUGGAACGCCUGCACCAGGCGGAUGACGAGGACCUACUGAUGUACCUCCUCCAGCUGGUCCAGGCGCUCAAGUACGAGAACUUCAGUGAUAUUCUGGGAGGCCUGGAGCCAGGCGGCAAGAAAGACAGCCAGGGGCUUUUAGAUGACUCGACACUGGACAGUUCCCAGAUCGCGUCCGGCACAUCUGGACCUUCCACUGCCACGCAGAAAGGCAAGGAAGUUGCAGAAAGCGACAGUUCAGAGCAAGACUUGUGCACAUUUCUGAUCUCCCGUGCUUGCAAGAACUCCACCCUUGCCAACUAUUUGUAUUGGUAUGUGAUUGUGGAGUGUGAGGAUCAGGACACCCAGCAGAGAGACCCUAAGACGCACGAGAUGUACCUGAACGUCAUGAGGAGGUUCAGUCAGGCUUUACUCAAGGGCGAUAAGAGCGUGCGGGUGAUGCGGUCGCUGUUGGCUUCCCAGCAGACGUUCGUGGACAGACUGGUGCAGCUGAUGAAAGCCGUGCAAAGGGAGAGCGGAAAUCGCAAGAAGAAGACGGAGCGGCUCCAGGCUCUGCUGGCCGACAACGAGAAGGUGAAUCUUUCCGACAUCGAGCCCAUUCCUCUUCCUCUGGAGCCUCAGAUCAGGAUCAGAGGCAUCGUCCCCGAGACGGCCACACUCUUCAAGAGCGCUCUGAUGCCAGCCAAGCUGAUCUUCAAGACCGAGGAUGGAGCCAUGUACCCAGUUAUUUUCAAACACGGAGACGAUCUGAGGCAGGAUCAGCUCAUCCUUCAGAUCAUCUCGCUCAUGGACAAACUGUUGAGGAAAGAGAAUCUGGACCUGAAGUUGACACCUUACAAAGUAUUGGCCACCAGCACCAAGCACGGUUUUAUGCAGUUUGUUCAGUCGGUUCCGGUUGCUGAGGUCCUGGCUACUGAAGGCAACAUCCAGAGCUUCUUCAGGAAGCAUGCGCCGAGUGAAAAGGGACCCUACGGCAUCAGCCCGGAGGUGAUGGACACCUACGUCAAGAGCUGCGCUGGUUACUGUGUCAUAACGUACAUCCUCGGAGUGGGAGACAGACACUUGGACAACCUGCUGCUGACAAAGACCGGGAAGCUCUUCCACAUCGACUUCGGCUACAUCCUGGGUCGAGACCCCAAACCGCUGCCCCCGCCGAUGAAGCUGAGCAAAGAGAUGGUGGAGGGCAUGGGAGGCAUGCAGAGCGAGCAGUACCAGGACUUCAGGAAGCAGUGCUACACCGCCUUCCUGCACCUCAGGAGAUACUCCAACCUGAUCCUGAAUCUGUUCUCUCUCAUGGUGGAUGCCAAUAUUCCUGAUAUCGCCUUGGAGCCCGACAAGACCGUGAAGAAGGUGCAGGACAAGUUCCGAUUGGACCUGUCGGACGAGGAGGCCGUCCAUUACAUGCAGAGUCUGAUCGACGAGAGCGUGGGCGCUCUGUUCGCCGCUGUGGUCGAGCAGAUACACAAGUUUGCUCAGUAUUGGCGCAGAUGAGCCAAACGGACACCGCUGAACUGCAAACUUUUGCAGCGGGUGCCACUGAUGGAGGCAGGAUGAGGCGUCGGUCACGGGGGAAGAAGAGGCAGCGAAGCGCCAACGGGGCAACUGAGUCAGAAAGACCAAUGGGUGACAGAGAAGAAGCUGUCCUCUGUUAUCACCUUGGGGGGGUCAGAAGUUCUUGUUUAUGAAGCUUAUGGUUUGAACGAGCCAAUUGAGUCACUGGACCUCGGCACAAAAAGGCAGAGCGGGAAGAACCGCAACCAGAUUUAGAUUUGUCCCUGAAUCCGUUGAACAUGCAGAGGAACGGCUCCUUUUGGACAUGGAAAACUACAAUAAACUAUUUCCGCUUCAUUGGCGAUUCUCACUCAGUCGACUCGUAUCGAACAAGCAGUCAGAAGAAUGUGCCGAUGCGUUUGAAACGGGGAGCCGCUGAUGACAGACGGCGCUAAACAGAGUUACGUGUUGGGGGUCAUCUGGUGGCUCGACAUAUGGGGUCAUGACCUUUUAUCUCGCUAGUAUUGGACGCCAUUCAGGGUCUGUAAAAGGCAUGAAUGUCGGAGGUCAGGGGUCGAGUGCAGACCAGAAUCUUCAGAUGCAUUAACUUGCUCAAAGACAUCGUAACUUUUUUUGAGCAAUUAAAUAUAUUUUUUGUUCUGCCUGUUUUGUGAUAUACAUGCCUAAAAGGUGCCUAAUAUUUCUAUACUGAAAUAAUAUCGGCAUUAUAAUUAUUAGAACUAUGAUUUAUUUUUAUUAUUCGCAGAAACUCCACAGAUAUUUUGGAAUAAAACAGAAAUCAUUGCUAGAUUUCUUUAGGCAGAUAUGAUGUUGAUUUGAGAGUCCUCGCCCAAUCCUCGAACUCUUCUUGGGGAGCCGCGAGGCAUCCCAGGCCAGAAGCUCCAUGAGCCAACUCAACUGUCCCCCUUCAACACUUUUUGGGCCACUUAUUAGUCAUUACCUCAUUUCGAGCAACACUCAUUUUACUCUGUCAAUCCCCAUUUGUCCCAAAUGUCUCGUCAGCACAGACGUGGGACGCCGAUACCAGGGUUGGAACACACAACCCAUUCAUUAUUUAUUCCAUAAAAAAAUUAAUUAUUUGAUAAUGUGGAAAGACACAACAUAUUUGAAAAUAUACAGUAAAAGGGGAAGGUUAUGUCAACAUUUUAAAAAAUAAAUGAUUGAAUUAGCUGAAAGUAUGAAGAUCUGCGAAGCUUUUUGUUAGGUUUUAGAGCAUGUGUUUUCAAUUUGUAUUAAAGAAUGUAAGCCCUAUGAAUUAUUGUUUACUCCUCGGGGUUGUAAUUAUUAGAAGAUUAAUAAUUACAAUCAUAUUAUUGCUGUGUUGUUUAUUCUGUACCCUAAGAGCAGAAGGUUCCAGGGUCACAUCUGGUUAAUAAGCAGACACAGGAACAAUGUUUUGUUUCAGGUCUCCCCACAUAACUCACCCUAACCCACACCACACAGGACUCAAGGUCAUGAAGCUCAUACUGAUAAGAGACCUCAUCCUGUUUUGUGUAACCACUUGUUUCAAUAAAAGCACUGUCGGGGGAGAAUGGAGCCAGAGUGUUUUGGAGACGUGCGAAGGCACAGCUCAACUCUCUCCUUGCAGCAAGUAAAACUA